AGGUUUCAUGAAGUCUCUUCACUGCUGUUGCAGUGGCGCAGGGGACCUUGGCAUGUAAACACAUAGACCCUGGGGUGGCUUGCACUGAAGCCAUGUCCACUCUGCAGAGCCAAAAAAGAGAAAAUCCAGGCCAAGCUUUGUGUCCCUGCUAGAAAUCGUGCAUUUUUGGUGGAGAACAGGUGCUGCACCCUGUCCUUGCCAGCUCUACAGUGAGGUGCAGCAGUGGAGACUUGCUGAAGCUGCCUGAAGGUUUGGAGCUGGUCCAUCAGGCCCGGUGUGGGAUGCAGAAGGGAGCUCCUCAUCUGCAGCUGAUUGGAGUGUGGAGGAGUGUUUCUGUGCGUCUGUCCGGGAGGCAAAUAGAGGCAUCCUCUCUGCUCCCAGGAAACCAGGAGCUGCUGUCUCAAUUAUGAGGAGGAAAGAGGUGUCAUUAGAGAGUCAUCCAACACAUGAGAGAUACUUUGGGGAAACAAACCCCGGACCUGUGUGCUUCCAUGCAAAUGGAAACAUCCAAGGAGCAAAGCAGGAGCGAUUGGAAGGCCUGGCUGGUAUCCAAGCAGCAACAAACAGAUGUGCAAGAGUUUUGGGGAAGGAAGAAAAUGCCUGAAACAAACUAGGGAGGAACAAGUUACUGACAGUAGUAGAGAAGCAGUCUUUGGCAAGAGCAGCCGCGCCAAAACACACGCUGGUGGUGCUGAGUCACAACAGCAGGAGUAAGAAUGAAAGGAAAUUCCUGUGGCAAGACGUCAUGAUGUUGAGACGCUAAAGGAUAAACCAGCAGAGGAAAUCAGUGCCUGAAUAGACACAUGCCUUCAGCCUAAAAAUACACUCCUGAGGGGCUGUGUUGGGAGGAAAGCCUGUAGAGUCCCAAAGGAUGGGGCAGAUCAAUGUGGAUGAAUUGCUGGUAGUAUCUCAGGGCAUGAAGUAAGAGGCCUCAAAAACAAAAAACCUCCCAAAAAACCAAGUUGGGGAGGAAAAGCCAAUCCCCAGGGGAGGUACAGCAUGGAUUGGGAUGUGCUGGAUGUCACUGGGAUGUGGUGGAUGUCACAGAAGUCAGGGCUUCAAAGGCACAUAUACAGAAAACAAACCUACGGAGUGACCAGACACAGGGAACCAUGUCUGGCUCAGGAGCUGCUUUCCUGCAUGGUGUCUUUUCUGUACAACUCAAGCGGCUGAAGCCACCACUGCUCACCAGUUCAGGUAUCACUGCUUCUGUCUGCAAUUGCCUGCAUUACUUUUACCCACUCCCAGCAUCUCUGGUUCGUGUUUGUUUGUACUUAGACUGCAAGGUGAGAAGGUUCAGAACCUGCUGCAUUGUUCUGUAACAAAUCACCGCAACCAAGUGAUGCACAAACCACAUCCUACAACACAGAGAAGCUCCCAGCAUCUGAGAGAGAACCAGAAACCACUUGCAACUAUUUAUUAUGACUUAAAGUAAUAAAUUCCUCAAAGAGGAAUCACA